UGCGUCAUCCCGGCAAUUUUGCGCGAAGUAUUCUAUUUUAGUUUUGUAUAGUAGAGGACUUAACACAUUUCUACUUUUUAGGUUCAAGAGUGUCACUGAUAAUUAAAAUAUUCUUUGACUGGUCAUAUUACCAACUGAAUUCUCGAAAAUAAUUUUAAUUUGAUUGUCAGUUUCUGUGAAAUAAACCACAGAAUAUUGUGUUCACCGUUUAUUCAUCGUUCAGAAUUCCUUUUGGAAGAUAGAUACAGUAUGGCGUUUGUUGUGUUACUGCAGUAUGUUUGUUUGAAAUGAAUCGUUUGACCAACCACUGAGAAUCAAGACUUGUUGGGCAAAGCCCACCCCUGACUUAUUCAUGGUAAUUAAUCACAGGAAGAUGAUUGUAUUGAAUUCUAAUCGAAUACUAACUACUUUUGGUUAUCCUAAACUUGGCAACCUUAACAUUAUUGUAGGUUUGUGAAACUUAAAAUUUGUGGCUGCUUUCCAGAGCUGUAUUAAGUUUUCCAUUGAAUGUGUGCUAAAAUACAGUGGUACAUGAAACCAAUCCAAGCUUCUGUACAUUUGAUGGUUUCUCUCCAAGUCUCAUCAGUGAGUGAGGUACCUGCCAAAGACAGUGAUUACACAUCAACGGUGUCCCGUUGAAGCCCUGCCAUCUUGAUCAUCACUUAACAUGAUAAUGUAGGAUAACUAGAUGCUAACCCCUUUAAACUUUAAAGACUUGCUCCAACUGAGACGAUAAAUGAUGGACUCUGGUUUAUUUGACAUUUUGAGGCAAACGGCUCAACUACGUGAACAGAAAGUAUGGGCUGAAUUAAUCGUCAUGCUAGAUGCUUGACUUCCAUUAUUGUAGAAGUCUAUGAUACAUAUUUGGUGUAUUCGGUAUCUUAUGAGCCAAUGCAUUGCUUUACAUAUCAUUGUUU